rnacentral:rRNA from 1 species
UACGUAGGGCGCAAGCGUUGUCCGGAAUUAUUGGGCGUAAAGAGCUCGUAGGCGGCCUGUUACGUCUGCUGUGAAAUCCCGGGGCUUAACCCCGGGCGUGCAGUGGAUACGGGCAGGCUGGAGGCAGGCAGGGGAGAACGGAAUUCCCGGUGUAGCGGUGAAAUGCGCAGAUAUCGGGAGGAACACCGGUGGCGAAGGCGGUUCUCUGGGCCUGUUCUGACGCUGAGGAGCGAAAGCGUGGGGAGCGAACAGG